ACUGCACAGAACAGACAUUGUGACAUAUAUCUAGGCAAAUUGCCUAGAAGUGAAUCCCCUCUCCUGCUUAAGUCCUUCCCACAGAGAGCGGUUUGAUAUGUCACUGAAACCAGCAUCCAGGUGGUAUUGCUCCAUAUGCCUGAGACCCUAACAAAAGCCUAAUUACAACUCAUAUGCCUGGAGCCAGGACAUGUGCAGGAUGGUGAUGUAACUUUCCUCUCUGGAAUGGGUCCUGCACAAAGGAAUGAUAGUAACAUAUUGCAAAGCCAGACACACAGCCAUGAUGGUCCAAGUUAUAUUGGGAUUCAGCCAAUAGAAGAUAUUUUGCCUGUCAUCCCUAAGCUUAGGACAAUAGGAACAUUGUGACAUUGCUGGACGUAGCAUCUAGGAAAUGUACUCUCCUCUCCUGCCUAGGCCCUGCCCACUAAAGGAAUUGUGACAUACCACUGAGUGCAAAACCUAGGGUCCUGCCCACAAGAAAGAUUGUGACAUCUCACUGGACAAGCACCCACCCAGACUCUGCCAAGAGAGGGGAUUAUUACAUAUUGCA
rnacentral:lncRNA from 10 species